rnacentral:rRNA from 1 species
AUACGGAGGGUGCAAGCGUUAUUCGGAAUCACUGGGCGUAAAGGACGCGUAGGCGGGUUGGCAAGUCAGAUGUGAAAUCCUACAGCUGAACUGUAGAACUGCAUUUGAAACUGCUAACCUAGAGUAUGGGAGGGGGAGAUGGAAUUAGUGGUGUAGGGGUAAAAUCCGUAGAUAUCACUAGGAAUACCGAAAGCGAAGGCGAUCUCCUGGAACAUAACUGACGCUAAGGCGUGAAAGCGUGGGGAGCAAACAGGAUUAGAAACCCUUGUAGUCC